ensembl:lncRNA
CAUAUAUCAAGCAUAUUUUUGAAACGUAUUCCUUAAAAUGUAUUGCAGCUUAUUUUGGUCAUUUUGGGUCAUUUGUAGCCCGCAGUGAACAAAUGGUAAAAACAUAAGUGACCUUUAUUUAUCAUUUUAAUUUAAUAUCAAUUUUUCGAAGACUCAUGUUACGAUUCGGUGUUGUCAGUGUUUUGUUUUUCCGUGACUGUCAUGUAUUUCCUGUUUUACUUUGAAAGUCUGUGUUAUCUUAGUGUGUUCAGUUUACGUUUCCUUGUCUCGUCAGGUCUAAUUUGCCCCAGCUGUGUUUCCCUCCUGUGGUCCAUCCCCUGAUUGCUCCUUCUAUGUAUUUAAGCCUUGUGUUUCAGUGUGUCAUGGUCGCGAUCUCCCCCGUGUUGUAAAUAGUUUGGUGUUUUGUUGUAAAUAAAUAGUUUGUUGUAAAUAGAUUUGUCGAUACUUUCGUUUCGGGAUUUUGGUGGUGAGCUUUAGUGGGGUUUUUUGUGUGUGUUUUUUUUUUCUUUAUUUUUACUUUUUUCGUGUUGCACUCCGGUUGCCUAGGCCGGGGUGUAACAUAUGGGGGCUCGUCCGGGAUUGCCUUCGCUGGGGGGUCCGGGGACCGCCCCAGCCAUUGUCGUCGCUGGAGGGUCCGUGGGACCGCUCCAGCCUUCAUCCGCCUUCGCUGGAGGGUCGGUGGGACCGCUCCAGCCUUCGUCGUCUGCUGGAGGGUCAGUGGGACCGCUCCAGCCUUCAUCAGCUUCGUCUGCCUUCGCUGAGGGGAGGGUCCGUGGGACCGCCCCAGCCUUUCACAUAGGGUUGUAGAUAACACCUCCUCCUGGCUUAGCUUGUUUUGUUUGUUAUUUUGGCCUUUGUUCACCCUGGAGCUUCAUUUUUGCAGUGUAGAUAAUAAAUCACGAUUCACUAAGAAAUUGGUUUCCCUUUGUGUAUGGUUUUGGGGACCAGGGCGGGGCAAUUCUUUCAAACUUGUGUUGCGUUCCUGUACCCCUAGACUGGGGCGUAACAACUCAUUCCAACAUUUGCUGAACCUUCAACUUCAGUAGUGUGUGUGUGUGUGUGUGUGUGUGUGUGCGCGUGUGUGUGUGUGUGUGUGUGUGUGUGUGUGUGUGUGUGUGUGUGUGCGCGUGUGUGUGUGUGUGUGUGUGUGCGUGUGUGUGUGUGUGUGUGUGUGUGUGUGUGUGCGCGUGUGUGUGUG